UUGAACGCUGGCGGCUGCUUAACACAUGCAAGUCGAACGGAGUGGCGAACGGGUGAGUAACGCGUGAGCAACCUGCCUAUGACAGUGGGAUAGCCUCGGGAAACCGGGAUUAAUACCGCAUAGUCAUAGAUGGGCUCGGGUCUGAUUAGCUAGUUUGUGAGAUACCAGCCCACCAAGGCGACGAUCAGUAGCCGGUCUGAGAGGAUGAACGGCCACAUUGGAACUGAGACACGGGCAAAACUCCUACGGGAGGCAUCAGUGGGGAAUAUUGCACAAUGGGGGAAACCCUGAGGCAGCGACGCCGGGUGAACGAAGAAGGUAGUCGUAUCGGAAAGUUCUGUCCUAUGGGAAGCAGUACCAUAGAAGAAAGCUCCGGCUAAAUACGUGCCAGCCGACGCGGUAAUAC
rnacentral:rRNA from 1 species